rnacentral:lncRNA from 1 species
AUAUUAGCGUUGGCUCCACUAGGGUAGGGUUUGGGACAGGUGGCUGCUACCAACAGCUCUCAAGGUGGCCCCACAGACCUGAGCCAACCACUUCUCCUCAGCCCUCCCCUGCCCAUGAAGACUGCUCAGAGGGGCCCCAUUGAGAGCUGGAUCUGGGACUUUGUUUAAACUGCAAGGAGAGAAGCUCUGUCACCCUGCAGGGCGUGAAGUUCAGCUGAAGCCAUUGAGAUCAUGGCCUGGGAGCCUAUCUAGCAGGAGGCUACCACACGGAGGGCCCUGACGGUGUGAGUUCGGCCUCUGGAUCCCACCACACUGAAGCACUCCAGAGACUCCCUUCUCUCUAAACCCACCAGUUCUGCUCCCUGGACCCCUGACCCAGCCGUGCUGCUUUCAAAGAUCUGUCUUCCACUGCCUCCCAAAGCCAGAUCGCAGGAGAAGCUGGUGGUCUCGCAUCUGCCUGAAUUCUGACAGCGGCCCACGAGAGUCGGUGAUGAUGGCAGGUCUGCCCAAGUGGUGGGCCGGCUUGGCCCCCUCAUCUCAAAGUGAGCCAUGUUUUGCUCCCAGACCUUCCUCCUAGUCUGCCAGACCACCUCUUCUAGCCAUGCAGUCAAGCCCAGAUUAGGAAUUAGCCCCAUCCAGCCCCUCUCCCACAUACAACCUCCAAAUAUAUCCACAUCCCAAUCCCUAGAACCCAAGAUUAGACCUUAUAUGGCAAAAGUGACUUUGAAGAUGUGAUUCAAUUUUUUGAGAUGGGGAGAUUAUCCUGGACCAUCCAGGUGGACCCACUAUGCCCCCAAAAUUCACGUGUUGAAAGCUAAUCACCAAUGUGAUAGCGUUAGCAGGUGGGGCCUUUGGGAUGUGGUUAGGUCAUGAGGGUAGAGCCCUCAUGAAUGGGAUUAGUGCCCUAUAAAAGAGACCCCAGAAGCCAGGCAUAGUGGGCUGCACCUACAGUCCCAGCUACUGAGGAGGCUGAGGCAGGAAGAUCUCUUGGGUACAGGAGUGAGCUAUGAUCACGCCAUUGUACUCCAGCCUUGGUGACAGAGUGAGACCCUGUCUCUAAAGUAAUUAAAUAAAAGAGACCCCAGAGAGCUAGCUAGCUUCUUCCACUAUGUCAGUUAGAAGGUGCCAUGUAUGAGGACAUGGGCCCUCACAGGACAUCAAAUCUGCCAGUACCUUGAUCUUGGACUUCCCAGCCUCCAGAGCUGUGAGCAAUAAAUUUCUGGAAAAUGCUAUAAGCCACCCACUUUCCAGUAUUUUUGUUAUGGCAGCCCAGGCAGACUAAAACAACCUCUGUGGCACAUUUGGGGUGAUGGAGGAACAGCCGAUGUUCCUAGGAACCAGUGAGGCGCAGGAGUCCCAGAUCCCUCUAGUGAGAUCCCCAGAGAGCACCACGUACCCACCCUGCAGCUGGCAAAGCUAUUUAUGGAAGUUAGGGGCCUGUUGGUUUAGAGCGGCCAUUCUCAACCAGGGGGAUGUGGCACUGUCUUGAGACAGUUUUGGUUGUCAUGAGUGGGUGUGUGCGGUGGGGAGUGCUACUGCAUCACACAGGCUGAGGCACGGGAUGCUGCUCAACAUCCUACAGUGUGGGGACAGCCCCCCACAACAAAGAAUCAUUUCAUUCGAAACAUGGAUGAGGACCAAGCGCAGUGACUCACACCUGUAAUCCCAGCACUUUGGGAGGCCGAAGCAGGAAGAUUGCUUGAAGCCAGGAGUUUGAGACCAGCCUGGGCAACAUGGUGAAACCCCAUCUUUACAAAAAAAGCAAAAAAUCAGCCGGAUGUGGUGACACACACCUGUACUCCCAGCUACUUGGGGGCCUGAGGUGGGAGGAUUGCUUGAGCCCAGGAGGUCGAGGCUGCAGUGGGCUGAGACUGCACCACUCCACACCAGCCUGGGUGAUAAAGUGAGACCCUGUCUCAAAAAAAAAAAAAUUAGCUGAG